rnacentral:rRNA from 1 species
GAUGAACGCUGGCGGCGUGCCUAAUACAUGCAAGUCGAGCGAACGGACGAGAAGCUUGCUUUUCUGAUGUUAGCGGCGGACGGGUGAGUAACACGUGGAUAACCUACCUAUAAGACUGGGAUAACUUCGGGAAACCGGAGCUAAUACCGGAUAAUAUUUUGAACCGCAUGGUUCAAAAGUGAAAGACGGUCUUGCUGUCACUUAUAGAUGGAUCCGCGCUGCAUUAGCUAGUUGGUAAGGUAACGGCUUACCAAGGCAACGAUGCAUAGCCGACCUGAGAGGGUGAUCGGCCACACUGGAACUGAGACACGGUCCAGACUCCUACGGGAGGCAGCAGUAGGGAAUCUUCCGCAAUGGGCGAACGCCUGACGGAGCAACGCCGCGUGAGUGAUGAAGGUCUUCGGAUCGUAAAGCUCUGUUAUUAGGGAAGAACAUAUGUGUAAGUAACUGUGCACAUCUUGACGGUACCUAAUCAGAAAGCCACGGCUAACUACGUG